rnacentral:rRNA from 4 species
UUGGCUCAUUACAACAGCCGUUGUUUCUUGGAUCUUGAUUUACUUGGAUAACUGUGGUAAUUCUAGAGCUAAUACAUGCAACCAAGCUCCGACUUUCGGGAAGGAGCGCAUUUAUUAGACCAAGACCAAUCGGGCUUCGGCCCGUCAUCUGGUGACUCUGAAUAACUGUGCAGAUCACACGGUCCUAGCACCGGUGACAUAUCUUUCAAGUGUCUGCCCUAUCAACUUUCGAUGGUAGUUUAUGCGCCUACCAUGGUUGUAACGGGUAACGGAA